rnacentral:rRNA from 1 species
CGGUUAGCGGAGACGCUUUCCUUCAGUUCGGCUGGAUCGGAUACAGGUGCUGCAUGGCUGUCGUCAGCUCGUGUCGUGNNNUGUUGGGUUAAGUCCCGCAACGAGCGCAACCCUCGUCUUCAGUUGCCAUCAUUUGGUUGGGCACNCUGGAGAAACUGCCGGUGACAAGCCGGAGGAAGGUGGGGAUGACGUCAAGUCCUCAUGGCCCUUACGGGCUGGGCUACACACGUGUUACAAUGGCGGUGACAGUGGGUUGCNACCUCGCGAGGGGAAGCCAAUCCCGAAAAGCCGUCUCAGUUCGGAUUGUUCUCUGCAACUCGAGAGCAUGAAGUUGGAAUCNCUAGUAAUCGUGGAUCAGCAUGCCACGGUGAAUACGUUCCCGGGCCUUGUACACACCGCCCGUCACACCAUGGGAGUUGGCUUUACCCGAAG